GCUGGUGUAGCUCAGGGGUAGAGCACGUCCUUGGUAAGGACGGGGCCCGCGGUUCAAUUCCGCGCACCAGCACCA
rnacentral:tRNA from 1 species